UACGAAGGGUGCAAACGUUGCUCGGAAUUAUUGGGCGUAAAGCGCACGUAGGCGGCUUAGCAAGUCGGAAGUGAAAGCCCUCGGCUCAACCAAGGAAGUGCUUUCGAAACUGCUGAGCUUGAGUAGUUAAGAGGAUCGCGGAAUUCCCGGUGUAGAGGUGAAAUUCGUAGAUAUCGGGAGGAACACCGGUGGCGAAGGCGGCGAUCUGGGUCGAUACUGACGCUGAGGUGCGAAAGCGUGGGGAGCAAACAGG
rnacentral:rRNA from 1 species